GCCUCUGUAGCUCAGUCGGUAGAGCAGGGGACUGAAAAUCCCCGUGUCGAUGGUUCGAUUCCGUCCGGAGGC
rnacentral:tRNA from 1 species